rnacentral:misc_RNA from 1 species
AAACCAGAGAAUGAAGAUGAAGAGCUUGACGAGAAAAAGAUUUACCGCACCACUUAUAUGUUCAGUGCCACUAUGCCACCUGCUGUGGAGCGCCUUGCAAGGAAGUACUUAAGAAACCCAGUUGUGGUCAACAUUGGCACUGCUGGAAAGGCGACAGACUUAAUAUCUCAACACGUGAUCAUGAUGAAGGAAUCAGAGAAAUUUCCCAAGUUACAAAGAUUGCUUGAUGAGGCUGGAGACAAGACAGCAAUUGUGUUUGUUAACACCAAAAAGAAUGCAGACACUGUUGCCAAGAAUCUGGAUAGGGCAGGAUAUCGCGUGACAACUUUGCAUGGUGGGAAGUCCCAGGAGCAAAGGGAAAUUAGCCUUGAAGGUUUUAGGACAAAGAGAUAUAAUGUGCUUGUUGCUACUGAUGUUGCUGGUCGUGGGAUAGAUAUACCUGAUGUGGCCCAUGUCAUUAAUUAUGAUAUGCCUGGGAAUAUUGAAAUGUACACCCAUCGUAUUGGACGAACAGGCCGUGCUGGAAAGUCAGGUGUAGCUACAACAUUUUUGACUCUGUACGACACUGAAGUGUUCUAUGAUCUUAAGCAGAUGCUUAUUCAGAGUAACAGUCAUGUGCCUCCCGAGUUGGCUAAACAUGAGGCUUCAAAAUUCAAGCCAGGAACAAUUCCUGAUAGACCUCCAAGGCGAAAUGACACUGUUUUUGCUCACUGAGAACUUUGGACACUUUAAAAGCUUCAACGCUUUGUGCCAUGUAAUGGUAGCUGAAGCAUCUUGGAUUGUGGCGGC